UACGUAGGGUGCGAGCGUUAAUCGGGAUUACUGGGCGUAAAGCGUGCGCAGGCGGUUUUGUAAGACAGAUGUGAAAUCCCCGGGCUCAACCUGGGAACUGCGUUUGUGACUGCAAGGCUAGAGUACGGCAGAGGGGGGUGGAAUUCCACGUGUAGCAGUGAAAUGCGUAGAGAUGUGGAGGAACACCGAUGGCGAAGGCAGCCCCCUGGGCCUGUACUGACGCUCAUGUACGAAAGCGUGGGUAGCAAACAGG
rnacentral:misc_RNA from 1 species